rnacentral:rRNA from 1 species
ACCGCCAGCUAAGGUCCCAAAGUCAUGGUUAAGUGGGAAACGAUGUGGGAAGGCCCAGACAGCCAGGAUGUUGGCUUAGAAGCAGCCAUCAUUUAAAGAAAGCGUAAUAGCUCACUGGUCGAGUCGGCCUGCGCGGAAGAUGUAACGGGGCUAAACCAUGCACCGAAGCUGCGGCAGCGACGCUGAUGCGUUGUUGGGUAGGGGAGCGUUCUGUAAGCCUGUGAAGGUGGCCUGUGAGGGUUGCUGGAGGUAUCAGAAGUGCGAAUGCUGACAUAAGUAACGAUAAAGCGGGUGAAAAGCCCGCUCGCCGGAAGACCAAGGGUUCCUGUCCAACGUUAAUCGGGGCAGGGUGAGUCGACCCCUAAGGCGAGGCCGAAAGGCGUAGUCGAUGGGAAACGGGUUAAUAUUCCCGUACUUGGUGUUACUGCGAAGGGGGGACGGAGAAGGCUAUGUUGGCCGGGCGACGGUUGUCCCGGUUUAAGCGUGUAGGUGUGUGUUCCAGGUAAAUCCGGUUCACUUUAACACUGAGGCGUGAUGACGAGGCACUACGGUGCUGAAGCAACAAAUGCCCUGCUUCCAGGAAAAGCCUCUAAGCAUCAGGUAACAUCAAAUCGUACCCCAAACCGACACAGGUGGUCAGGUAGAGAAUACCAAGGCGCUUGAGAGAACUCGGGUGAAGGAACUAGGCAAAAUGGUGCCGUAACUUCGGGAGAAGGCACGCUGACACGUAGGUGAA